GACACUCCUUUGGAGUUACAAAGAAACCAUAUAGACGAAGCGGCUUGGAAUGGCCCGCCAUAGAAGGUAAGAGCCCUGUACUUGAAAUGUGGUUUCCUCCGGAGUGUAUCCUGAGUACGGCGGAACACGUGAAAUUCCGUCGGAAUCCGGGAGGACCAUCUCCCAAGGCUAAAUACUCCCUAGUGACCGAUAGUGAACCAGUACCGUGAGGGAAAGGUGAAAAGCACCCCGGAAGGGGAGUGAAAUAGAUCCUGAAACCGUGUGCCUACAAGUAGUCGAAGCCCGUUAAUGGGUGACGGCGUACCUUUUGUAGAAUGGACCGGCGAGUUACGAUCCCCUGCAAGGUUAAGUUGUAUAGACGGAGCCGCAGCGAAAGCGAGUCUGAAUAGGGCGAUAUAGUAGGU
rnacentral:rRNA from 1 species